GACGAACGCUGGCGGCGUGCUUAACACAUGCAAGUCGAACGGAAAGGCCCUGCUUUUGUGGGGUGCUCGAGUGGCGAACGGGUGAGUAACACGUGAGUAACCUGCCCUUGACUUUGGGAUAACUUCAGGAAACUGGGGCUAAUACCGGAUAGGAGCUCCUGCUGCAUGGUGGGGGUUGGAAAGUUUCGGCGGUUGGGGAUGGAUUCGCGGCUUAUCAGCUUGUUGGUGGGGUAGUGGCUUACCAAGGAUUUGACGGGUAGCCGGCCUGAGAGGGUGACCGGCCACAUUGGGACUGAGAUACGGCCCAGACUCCAACGGGAGGCAGCAGUGGGGAAUAUUGCACAGUGGGCGGGAGCCUGAUGCAGCAACGCCGCGUGCGGGAUGACGGCCUUCGGGUUGUAAACCGCUUUCGCCUGUGACGAAGCGUGAGUGACGGUAAUGGGUAAAGAAGCACCGGCUAACUACGUG
rnacentral:rRNA from 1 species